UGUGAGUGUGCGAAGUCGAGGCGGGAGACCAAGUCGGAGGAACAUACCACAUUUGGAGGAUAAACGUGACAUAUGUAUGGUCAGAGAUGUUUUCCAGUCUAAGCUAGGGGUGGAAAAAUCGUGCAAGAGUAUGAAACCAUUAAAACAUUGUUGGAUGGUACACGACAGAUGGUAAACCUACUAGUGGCUGACAUGAUCGAAGUUCAUGGGAGGAUCCAUCCAACAAAUGUGCGAGAAAAGUAUGCUUUUGGCAUCAUCACUCUAUUUCCAUGUCUUCAAGAUCCAUACUCAAAGAACGGAUACGAACACUACUAUGAUCCAGAUGGUGGAUCUGGCUACUUGGCAUGGAGGAUAAAGACGGUUCAGCGCAACACUGCAGUCCCUGAGAUGCUCCCCCAGCACUACCUAUCAAGAUGGUCCAUAGAGCAAGAGGGAUUUCUCUUAACUUGUGGGCAACUGACUGGCGAGGAAUGCAGAGAGGCAAUAUCCUUCAUGAAGCAUUCAGCUGAUGAAUCAG